GGAGGAGGAGGAGUCAAUAGACGAAGAAAAAAUAUCAACACAAGGAUCGACAUCCUACAAGGGAAAAAGGCCACUAUUCAUUGAUGACAGUCGGAAAGCUUGGAUUAGGGUUUCAGGAGGCAAGACGAAAGGACGUAUUCUCGGAAUGAGACCGGGGGAUGAUUCAUUGAUGCUGAAGAAAUACAAGACCAAAAUAAAUCACCAAGAAAAGAAGAAAGAGAAAAGAAGAAAAUGGAAGAAUUCGAUACUCGUGUUCAAGAAACCUUUAACGCGGUCGUCAACCAGAGACUUGAGACGGUUAACCAACAAAUGGAGAUCUUGCUAAAACAACAUACAGACUUAAGCAAAAUCGUUAUUCUUGAAGUAAGUUAUUCAAUACUUACUAAAAUUCUUAGUAUAAACAUUAACUUAAUCAAUCAAAAUUAUUUUGUUGUUUUUUAAGAGGGAAACACAAGCACGAGCAUGGGCCAACCGAUCGUUCCAAGUAAGGAUCCUCCGAAUCCUCCUUUAGAUCUUGAUGCUUUAUUCAAAAAAAAAAGUUGAAUUGUACUUCGAAGAAUUUGUUUAAUUUGUAAGUUGGAAUAAAUGUUUUGCGAAUGUAUAUUUGAAUGAAUUGUAUGUAAAUUUGAAUGAAAAUAUGAAUGAUCGUAUGAAUUAUGAAUUGCUUGUGAAUGAUCGUAUGAAUUAUGAAUUGCUUUUGAAUGAAUGUUUAUUUUCAGGUACAAGAAUG
rnacentral:lncRNA from 1 species